UUCAAACUAGCUUUUCGGUAUUUGUAUCAUCUAACAAAAUGAGAUGGCCACGAACCUUGACCUCCAGGAUUUGGCGGACCUUGUACGUGCGGUCACUUGCGAACGAAUGUGAGGCGCUGCGUUCCACGUGAUGUCAGGCUCGCGGCUUUGGCUCGAAGUUAUCGCUGAGCUCCAUUGGUGCUCGGGUGUGCAGAUUUCCACUGGCACAGAAAGCCAAUGAGACAGGGAGGGCAAACCUUCAUGUGGUGUUUGCUCCGUUCCUCCGCCACUUUCCGGCUAUCUGAAUAUUCUUCACUUUCAAAAGAGUCCAACCAGAAAUGCAAUGAAGAGUUUAAUUUUCGUUUCUUAAACAGGGUUCACUGUGACUCCGUUAUGCAUGUAAGUACGAUCAGGCUGCCCCAGGAAGCCUGUGCCCUGCAUUGGAAUACUUCACAGAAUACAAGGUUCUGGUAGAUCGGAUGUGAGCAUACUCCACUGAGAAUAUCAAACUGACACCCAUUAAACUUCUUACUGGGCUGAAUAAACUCCAUUUGGUCCAGUUAAAAUGGUUUUCUUUUUGUUAAAAGUUUUAUUUGUAAAGUCCUGUCACAUUCCUGGUCUAAACUGGGUUGAAAAACUUGAAAAUUUCCCACCAGCUGGGAAAUAGUGGCUGCAGUACAGAAUUAUGUAUCUGAGGUUCUGCCAUCAGUCCUGUUACCCAAGGGGCCAGACGGUGGAGGAGGAAGGCACAGAGUUUCUGUUUACCAAGUCACAAUAAGCUGGAAGCCAAAACAAUCUGCACUCUAAGACAGCCUGUUUUUUUGUUUUGUUUUUUCUUCUCAUUGAGUUUAUUGGUGCAUUUUAGGUAUACAGUACAGUUACAUUCAUCAUUGGGAUCUUGCACCUUUACAUGAGAGGUCUUGGUUCUCAUUUUUUCCCCAUACCCCUACCCUCCCUUCACCCCUCC
rnacentral:lncRNA from 1 species